GACGAACGCUGGCGGCGUGCCUAAUACAUGCAAGUAGAACGCUGAAGGAGGAGCUUGCUUCUCCGGAUGAGUUGCGAACGGGUGAGUAACGCGUAGGUAACCUGCCUGGUAGCGGGGGAUAACUAUUGGAAACGAUAGCUAAUACCGCAUAAGAGUAGAUGUCGCAUGACAUUUGCUUAAAAGGUGCAACUGCACCAUUACCAGAUGGACCUGCGUUGUAUUAGCUAGUUGGUGAGGUAACGGCUCACCAAGGCAACGAUACAUAGCCGACCUGAGAGGGUGAUCGGCCACACUGGGACUGAGACACGGCCCAGACUCCUACGGGAGGCAGCAGUAGGGAAUCUUCGGCAAUGGACGGAAGUCUGACCGAGCAACGCCGCGUGAGUGAAGAAGGUUUUCGGAUCGUAAAGCUCUGUUGUAAGAGAAGAACGAGUGUGAGAGUGGAAAGUUCACACUGUGACGGUAGCUUACCAGAAAGGGACGGCUAACUACGUG
rnacentral:rRNA from 1 species